rnacentral:rRNA from 1 species
CCUACGGGUGGCAGCAGUGAGGAAUAUUGGUCAAUGGGCGUAAGCCUGAACCAGCCAAGUCGCGUGAGGGAUGAAGGUUCUAUGGAUCGUAAACCUCUUUUAUAAGGGAAUAAAGUGCGGGACGUGUCCCGUUUUGUAUGUACCUUAUGAAUAAGGAUCGGCUAACACCGUGCCAGCAGCCGCGGUAAUACGGAGGAUCCGAGCGUUAUCCGGAUUUAUUGGGUUUAAAGGGUGCGUAGGCGGACUUUUAAGUCAGCGGUGAAAGUCUGUGGCUCAACCAUAGAAUUGCCGUUGAUACUGGGAGGCUUGAGUAUGGUAGAGGCGGGCAGAAUGCGUGGUGUAGCGGUGAAAUGCGUAGAGAUCACGAAGAACCCCGGUUGCGAAGGCGGCCUGC